GUCCUAGCCGUAAACUCUGAGAACUUGAUUGAAGGGUCCUCCAUAGCCUUUCAGUCGUAGCGAAAGUGUUAAGUUCUCCGCCUGGGGAGUAUGGUCGCAAGGCUGAAACUCAAAGAAAUUGACGGGGGCUCACACAAGCGGUGGAGGAUGUGGCUUAAUUCGAGGCUACGCGAAGAACCUUAUCCUAGUCUUGACAUGCAUUUCUAAGUCGGUGAAAGCCGGCGACCGUAGCAAUACGGAACUUGCACAGGUGCUGCAUGGCUGUCGU
rnacentral:rRNA from 1 species